UCUCACAUGUACGGGUUCUCUCGCUCACUUCAAUUCUAGAAGAAUCAGUUCAACAAGAGAGACCCAUCGAUUCUUCCAUGUCAACAAAAUACUCUUUGCUCUAGAUUUUCGAGGACGGGUCUUUGAGUUCUCUUCGUCUUUCUCAUCUGGGUGUUGCGAAUUUUGGCAGCUUUUAUCUCAAUUUUUCCCUAAUUUUCUUCUGGUUCUCUUCAAAUUUACCAAUUUUAUGGCUAAAAUUCAUUGUUGUUGUCAAUAUUUUUCUGCUUAAUCAAAAUUGUUCAUUAUUUCUCUUUUCGUCCUUAAUCAGUCUCUUUUGCAUGAUUAUUAUUUUUCUUCAAACUACUAUUUCAAUUCUCUUCAUUUUCUCAGUUGGGUGUUCUAAUUUCAGGUCUCUUCACAAUUCUCCAUUGCUAAUCGCUACUCCUUCCCUGUUUUGAAGUUCCAUCUAUCUCUUCAUCAUCAUUCCCACUAGGAUCCACCUCAAUGAAAUGGCUUUUCUACUCAAAGGAUAAAAUAAAAUUUACUUGCCAUGAUCAUGAAAGACUCAAAGUGUCUCAUCUGUCACCUCAAAAAGGCUAUGAACUAUUUUUCUUGGUACUGUUUCUUCGAUCCCUCAACAUGUUAGAGCUUCACAUAUUUAUGUUUAUCUUUAUGUUGGUAAGGCCUAAAUCUUUGUACACAGUUUAUUGAAACAACCAGUGUUGGUAGUGCUUGCUUUUGUGCUUUAAUUUGUUUAUUUCGUCGCUUUCAAAUUGUAGUUACAAGUUAUAGAUGGACCACAUAUGGUGUAGAGGAAUAGAAUUAACUUCGCUUAGCAUAGCAAGAACUUCCCUCAUUUCAAGAAGAGGUAGUAUUUUGAUUCAUGCAAUGAACUUAUGAUGACAUUUUACAUUUAUAUUGUGGGAGUUUUAGCUUUAAUAUCCCCUGAAACAUUCUUAUAACUAGCCACAUGUGGUUUAUCCUUAGGAAAGCCUGCAGUUGGAUUUGAUUCAAGCAAAAUUAGUAAUUACUCAUGUGGUUUAUCUCUACAAGGUGUUAAUUUAACUUUACAGAUCAAUCCAGGUAGCAGCAGUUUCAGGCGAUGUCGCUCUGCACUAGAAUUAUGUCAGAAAGGUGUGAUACUUACAAUAUCAUGCUAAGAAAAUGUUGUUACCUUCCAGUUCUGCUGCAUCCAGUAAGAGCUAAGCCUCAAAUUUCUUAGACACUACUAGCAUGAAAAUAAUAUAUUUGGACUUCCUCUAGAGUAGAUACAUCUUUAUGUGGCAAUGACAUCUGCAAUAGAUAAAAUGUUGAAUAUAUAUUUGUGUUUAUUAUCUCCUUAUGCUAUAUUUAUUGAACUUGGGAUAUAAAUUUCAACAGUAGAUGACCUCUUUUUCCAAUAUUCGAUCAAUAAUAGAGUUCAAAUGAGGAUAUUGCGGCUAAUUAUCCUUCAAGAUGUAAACAAUUAGGCAAUAAAGAAAUACCUUAUGAGAAACACAUGUUAUCGAAUGUUGUACACGGACACAUCACCAUCCUUGGACUUGAACAUGCUUCAUGUGUGCUUGAAGGAAUAAUUUCUUUGGUUUAGCAAACUAUUUGGGUGGUCCAUGUUGGAAAGCCAAGGACACAAAACACGUGAAUCUGGAAGUUUGCUAUAUGUGUAACUUCUCAGUUGUCAAUGAUUAUUCAGCUCUUUUGUAUUGUCCUCAAUACUUAAAUUCUAUUCUAUUCCAUUUUUAUUGUUUUUGGCCACCUAAUAUGAUUAUCAUAAUAGAACUCAUAAUAAUGUAUUGCAUUCUCUUCGUAU